UACAGAGGUGGCAAGCGUUGUUCGGAUUUAUUGGGCGUAAAGGGUCCGUAGGCGGUUUGAAAAGUCAGAUGUGAAAUCCUACAGCUUAACUGUAGAACUGCAUUUGAAACUUUCAGACUAGAGUAUGAGAGGGGUAAAAGGAAUUCCCGGUGUAAGGGUGAAAUCUGCAGAGAUCGGGAGGAACACCAGUCGCGAAGGCGUUUUACUGGCUCAUUACUGACGCUCAGGGACGAAAGCUAGGGUAGCAAACGGG
rnacentral:misc_RNA from 1 species